rnacentral:rRNA from 1 species
GAUGAACGCUGGCGGCGUGCCUAAUACAUGCAAGUCGAGCGAACAGACGAGGAGCUUGCUCCUCUGACGUUAGCGGCGGACGGGUGAGUAACACGUGGAUAACCUACCUAUAAGACUGGGAUAACUUCGGGAAACCGGAGCUAAUACCGGAUAACAUGUUGAACCGCAUGGUUUAACAGUGAAAGACGGUCUUGCUGUCACUUAUAGAUGGAUCCGCGCCGCAUUAGCUAGUUGGUAAGGUAACGGCUUACCAAGGCAACGAUGCGUAGCCGACCUGAGAGGGUGAUCGGCCACACUGGAACUGAGACACGGUCCAGACUCCUACGGGAGGCAGCAGUAGGGAAUCUUCCGCAAUGGGCGAAAGCCUGACGGAGCAACGCCGCGUGAGUGAAGAAGGUCUUCGGAGCGUAAAACUCUGUUAUUAGGGAAGAACAAAUGUGUAAGUAACUAUGCACGUCUUGACGGUACCUAAUCAGAAAGCCACGGCUAACUACGUG